CCCUUAGAGUUUGAUCCUGGCUCAGAACGAACGCUGGCGGCGUGUUUAAGACAUGCAAGUCGCACGGGAUCAAUUUUGUAGCAAUACACGGUUGGUUCAGUGGCGCACGGGUGAGUAACACGUGAAUAACAUGCCCUUCAGUGGGGAAUAGCCCAGGGAAACUUGGAUUAAUACCCCAUGGUAUCGCAAGAUUAAAGGUGGCCGCAAGGCUGUCGCUGAAGGAUUGGUUCGCGCCCUAUCAGCUUGUUGGUGAGGUAACGGCUCACCAAGGCUACGACGGGUACCUGGUCUGAGAGGACGAUCAGGCACACUGGAACUGAGACACGGUCCAGACACCUACGGGUGGCAGCAGUCGAGAAUAAUUCACAAUGGGGGCAACCCUGAUGGUGCAACGCCGCGUGGAGGAUGACGGUCUUCGGAUUGUAAACUCCUGUCAUCCGGGAGUAAGACCUGGCUGUGAAUAGCAGACAGGGUUGAUAGUACCGGAAGAGGAAGGGACGGCUAACUUCGUGCCAGCAGCCGCGGUAAUACGAAGGUCCCGAGCGUUGUUCGGAAUCACUGGGCGUAAAGGGAGCGUAGGCGGCGUGGUAAGUCAGAUGUGAAAUCCCGGGGCUCAACCCCGGAACUGCAUCCGAUACUGCCGUGCUAGAGGAUUGGAGAGGUAGCUGGAAUUCUUGGUGUAGCAGUGAAAUGCGUGGAGAUCAAGAGGAACACUCGUGGCGAAAGCGAGCUACUGGACAAUAUCUGACGCUGAGCUC
rnacentral:rRNA from 1 species